rnacentral:rRNA from 1 species
UUGAUAUUACCAGGUUAGUAGUAGUUAUGAGCUUGAAAAUUAAAGAAGAUGGCGGUAUUUUAGUCUAUUCAGAGGAACCUGUCCUGUAAUCGAUGAUCCACGAUUUAUUAUACUUAUUUUAUAAGUUUGCAUAUCGCCGUAGAUGGAAUGUCCUUUAAGGGUUUAUAAACAUUCAAGAGAUUUUUAUUUGUGAAAGUAAAUCAGGUCAAGAUGUAGCUAAUAAAUAAGAAGAGAUGGGUUACAAUAAAUUUAUUUAUAACGGAUUAAUAUAUGAAAUUUAUUAUAAAGGUGGAUUUGAAGGUAAUUUUAUAUAAAUUAUAAAA